UAGCCUCUGAGCCUACCUCUUUCUCCUGUGCGGGAUGCUUCCUGCCCUCAAACAUCAGACUCUAAGUUCUUCUGUUGCGGGACUCGGACUGUUUCUCCUUGCUCCUCAGCUUGCAGCCUAUUGUGGCGCCUUGUGAUCAUGUAAGUUAAUACUUAAUAAACUCCCCUUUAUAUAUAUAUGUGUGUGUGUGUUGUGUGUAUAUAUAUAUAUAAAAUAUGUAUAUAUACAGAUAUAUACACUAUAUACCUAUACAUAUAUAUAUCCUACUCGUUCUGCCCCUCUAAAGGAACUCUGACUAAUAGAAUGCAUUAAAUUUAGACACCUUUGUGCUUGGCCAUCCAAAAGUACAUUAUUUUGGAGAAACUAAAGGAAUAUAAAUAAAAAUAUGCUGUUGAAUUUUACUCUUAAAUAGCUGAGUGAUCAACCUUCAAGAAUACAUGGAAUCAAUUUUUAAAAAUUCAUAAUUAUGUAUUUAAUAUUGCUAGAAUAUGUUACUAAACAUUUGAAUAUACUUGACUGGUCAGGAGGAAGAUUCCUGUAUGACUCUAUAAUUAAAGUCAUUUGGGUUUUCUGUUGAACAUUAAAAACUAAAAUAUUUUCACAUGGUUCACAUGUUUUCCUUUGCAUAAAGGAAAAAAUAAGAGGUUUUGUUAAAUGAUGUUGAAAAUUAGCUCAUUUAAGUGAUGACAAAAUGUUCGAUUAAUAAAGCUUAAAAUAUAAAAGUAAAAGCAAAAAUAAAAUCUCUACAUAUUUAAAUGCAAUGCUUUGUUGUAAUGAGCCAAUUGCAAUAUAAAUGGAAGAUAUUUUAAAAUAUAAAAUAUUACAAUGAUGAAUUUCAGAGGGUCAAGUUGGCCAAAAUACUUAGCUGUUCCCCAUGCAUUUUUACCUAUUAAAAAAAAAAAAAGCUGAAAACAUCUCAGGAUCAUUUUGGCUCUGAGAAUGUAUGUCAAUAUCAGGAAAAAGGAAUUCUUCAGCCUAAAUGCCCAUCAACAGUAGACUGCAGAAGGAAAAUGUGGUGCAUAUACAUCGUUGAAUACCAUGCAGCCAUAAAAAAAACAAUGAGAUCAUGUUCUCUGCAGCAACAAAGAUGGGGCGUAUCCUAAGUGAACUAAUGCAGGAACAGAAAACCAAAUGCUGCAUGUUCUCACUUUUUAGUGAGAGCUAAAUAUUGAGUACAUAUGGACACAAAGAUGAAACAAUAGGCACUGGGGUCUACUUGAGGGUGGAGGAUAGAAGGAGAGUGAAGAUUGAAAAACUACCUAUCAGAUAAUAUGCUUAUUACCUGGGUGACAAUUUGUACACCAAUCCUCUGUGACAGACUUUGCCUACAUAACAAACUUACAGAUGUACCUCUGAACCUAAAAUACCAGUUGUAGAAAAAAUUUUGACAUAGAUAUGAAACAUCUGUACACUGAAUACUAUAAAACAUUGCUGAGUGAAAUUAAAGAUCACCUAAAUAAAUGGAGAGUUAUGCCUUGGAGAAAAAAAAAAGAAAAUGGGAUUUUUAGUAAUAACCCUUAUUCUCUAAAUGUUAAAAUUCCACCCAGACUUAGCCUAUUUUUUUGGACAGGACUGAUGGCCUAUUUAGUGAAUAGUUUCAGGAUAAGAAUAAACAAAAAGAUUGAGGACAGAGAUAUGCCACAAUCUUCACAUAAACACAGAAUACCUAUAAACAUGAGUAUUGGUUUAUUAGGCCAUUCAUUAUAUUCUGCUAAGUAUGUGAAGGCACAGGAGGGAAGUGAUUUAAAAGAGUUUUAAUUUCCUCAAAAUGUUGAUAUAAGAGUCUCUUCCCCUGGAUUCUCAUGUAGCCAUUAUGCUAAACAUCUUUCAUUUAAAAUGACCUUGUAUACUAUUCAAGUUCCACAAAAUUAAACUGCUAAAUAUUAUUUCUGUCAAAUUAUUCCAGUAUAUCAUUACUCCAUUUUUU
rnacentral:lncRNA from 10 species